GGGGAUGUAAAGGUUUCGACGGGGGUAUAGAAACUUCAUAAGCGGGCCGCAGUCGCCAAGUCUGCGUUAAAAAUGGCAACUUUAAAUUUAAACGCUAACAAUAAUAAUAGCAAUUUAGCACUGGCUGCCUAGUUCAGCCUGCUUGUCAUCUCCGGCUCACCUGCAGACCGGAACCAUGGCAUCGACUCAUGCAGGAAAACUUAUCUGAACGUCCCUGAUCAGAUAAGGAACUAAGGGAUAGCGAAAUCGCCAGUCUGCUGAUGGACGGACGAUGGGGCGAAUCAUAAAACACCAGCUGCGCCCGGAGAAAAUGAGGCGGAAAUGUUUUCGGACAGGAGUUCGAUUCUCCUCAUCUCCAU
rnacentral:tmRNA from 1 species